AACGCACAUUGCGCCCCCUGGUAUUCCGGGGGGCAUGCCUGUCCGAGCGUCAUUUCUGCCCUCAAGCACGGCUUGUGUGUUGGGCCCCGUCCUCCGAUCCCGGGGGACGGGCCCGAAAGGCAGCGGCGGCACCGCGUCCGGUCCUCGAGCGUAUGGGGCUUUGUCACCCGCUCAGUGGGCCCGUCCGGCGCUUGCUGAUCAACCCAAAUUUUUAUCCAGGUUGACCGCGGAUCGGGUAGGGAUUCCCGCUGGACUUA
rnacentral:misc_RNA from 1 species